CAGCCUACUGCUUCCGUCAGCGAGAGGAGGGGCAGCUCAUCAGGAGGCAAACACCACACCAAUCAAGUUAGGAAAUCUUUUCUUAGGAGAGCCAUGCCUCUGUUGCACACUUGGCCCACUAGUACUGCUGAGGGUGAUGCCACAGGAGAGGAAAUCAUAGCCUGGCCACUGCCCAACGCGGCCAGUGUGGGCUCUCAUGCAGUUCCACCUGCACAGCUGCAGAGGAGCCACAGGCCUGUGGGGAAGGGGUGCUUCUGAGACUCUCUGGUGCCAGUUUUGAUUCCUCUGUGCCGUG
ensembl:lncRNA